rnacentral:tRNA from 1 species
GUGGCAGUAGCCCAGCGGUAGAGCCUUCGCCUGAUAUGCGAAGGGACCCGGGCCCAACUCCCGGUUGCUUCU